UGUGCCUCUCCUUGGAGAACUGUAACACAGAGUCAACCAUGAGCUCCCCUGCCCAGCCCACGCCAGGCCAUGCCAGCUGAGGUGACCGCCUGCUUCACUAAUCCGACCAGUUUUGCUAAAGCCUGCAUUCAGGUACUCACCCGGGAGUGUUUGAAGGAUGGAAUUCGCAUCAAGAUAUGCUGACACUGGCUGUCCAGGAUGCCCACAGGCUUUAGAUGGUGAUGUUUGACAUGAUCCGCUCCCAUCAUUAAUAUUGUACAGUUGUAUCUGAAGAUAGCUCGAGUGUGGAAUGCGGGUUGUCAACCCGGCCACACUUAUUUUUCAUUUAUUGUCUGUCUUGCCUCCCACUAGACUGUAAGUUUUAUGAAAACAGAAAUCAAUCUACUGUUUCCUCACUGCCCUUGAGCAAUGCCUGAAAACAUCAGGCAUUGGGUAUUUAGUAAACAAAUACCCAGGAUGAGAAAAGAUGAUGACUUUGCUUAGUAAUGGAGAUACUCCCUUUCUCCCUCAAGUUACGUGAAGCCCUGUUUUCACUGGGCAUGCUGCCAUUCAGCCAAAAGACCACAUUCCUCAAUCUCUGUCUCUUCCAGGGAGAUGUGGCCACAGGACUCGGUUCUGACCAAGGAGUUGAGAUGUGAUGGCUGGAGCCUCAACACGAUUCUGGACUCUGAGUGGGGAGCCAUAACUAGGAAUGGCUGGGUGGAAGGCCUGAUUGAGGCUGGGUCCCUGAUGACUGUGGGGCCAACACACCAGCCCUCGACUACCAGCUUCCAGAUCUCCUAGGUGAUCUAUCUUAGGUAAGCCUGGGAUUUAUGGGUGUUCCAGUCACUGGUGGCUGAACUAAGUCCUAACCCAUAUCGUGACCUGAUUGCCAUUUAGUCACCCUGAUAGGCAGUCUGCAGGCUGAGCCUAAAUCCCUUGAACUGCACCCUGGACCCACUUCUUGGUCUGAGCUCUGAAAAUGCAGAGAUCUGAAAACAUACAGCAGGUCUUGCAUAGUUCUUUGCUGAAAAUUUAUUUGCUUAUAUCCAAGAAGCUUUUUCCAUAUUUAUCUUUGCAUUUUCCCUCCUCCCUGAUGCCCUAACACUCAGCCACCUCUCCUUCUCCCUGGCUCCUUUCUCAGCCCUGCUCAUAACAGCAAGGGGGUUUUUCUUUAUAUGCAUCAAUCUUUUAUUCCAGGUUUUGAGAUAAUGCUGUUAUAAACUGGUUAUAAAAAAGAUAUAAAAUCAGCUAUCUUCCUAACGACUAAGAGAAGAACAGGAAAAUCCUAAAUUAUUGCACUCUCCCCCUGUAGACUCCAGAGAGGGAAUUAUAGGGUACUAUAGGAGGUAGGGCACUACAGGGAAGUACCGAGAGAGAGAAAUGAAGAUAUUAACGCUCUCAAAUAAUUUGGGAUGAAAGACCAGACUUCAAAAACUAUGCCCUUAAGCUCUUGCAUAAUUUAUGAAAAGUUUGAAGGUUACACAACUGCCUAGACUUGUAUUUUAAAAGGGAAAGAGGGAAAGGGAAAGGGAGAAAAGAGAGAGGGAGAGAGAGAGCGAGACCCAGAGUGAAGAAGCAAUUGCAAAAGGCUUUUCAUAUCUAGCCAGUAAGGACUGGUUCGAAUAUGCUGCAGAGCCAGGUUUGCUGCUGGGAGCCUCUGCCUCAGCAGAUGAUGUGGACAACGUCUCCCAGAUAACUUAAGAAAGCAAUUCAAAAGAAUCACCCCAUAUGGCCACCUCAUGAUUAAAUAGUGGUUAUUUUGGGAGUGGAUGCCUUCUAGAACUUUCACUACUGCUUUCAUCACAUAUAUUAAUGCAGUUAUUUUUCCCAGCUGUCUGUAUUUUAUGAGAACUAUGAUUUUGCCACCAUAGAUGGACUGUAAGCCCCAAGGUGAGAGGUGACCAUAUAACAAAUUGUAGCAAAAUGUAUCCAUCUGUAUUCCUGAGAACACCUUGAUUGAUAGCUGUGCUUCUUGGGGACCAGAAAUGAGAUUUCUCCUUCAUAGGACUGGUCAUGUGUGUCUGCAAUAUUUGGCAAAAUUCCUGUAGGCUUCCCACAUGCAACUGAAUUACUGGUAACAGUGUAUCCUUCCACUUUUCUGCUGCAUGUGGGAAGAAUUUGGAUUUUUCCCUGAAUGCAACCAUUUUGUUCAUGGCCUGGGCUAGUUUUUAGGACAUGGCUAUGAAGCAAACUCUUAACACUUUAGGGUAACACAACAGAGCCUCUGCCUUCAGCAAAGGUUUCAUCCCAUCUGUGUGGCUACUGGUAUCCUCUAAUUGAUCUAAGCUCUAAUUUAUUCUACGAAUGCCCUAAGAAUCCUCCUGCCCUUCCUUAGACUACCUUUCUAAGGGAAGGGCAGAAGAGGUAAGUACUGUAUUCAUUCACAUAAUAUUCACAUGCACUGUUAUAACUGCAUAGCCCAGAAUUAUGCAUAAGGAAGAGACAGAAUAAGGUGUCAGGCCAUAGGCAUUCCAAUUGUUUCCAAUCUUGGGAAAAUAAAGAAGACAAGCAUCAUUCAAAUCCGCCCCAGUUCCUACAGCCUUUUCUCCUAGCUCUUUUCCAACCCUACCACAUUUGUAGACAUCUUCUGAACUCAAUGUGCUUCAAAGACUGGCUGGACUCAGAUCAUCCUCAGUCCCUCUGUCAGCAAGGGACAGCAGCCAUUGUGGCACCCAAAAUGAGUAACACAGCUGUGCUCUCUUAGAAAGUUGACACUGAGUAUGAAUGCAGGACUCUGGCCCUCUGGACUGUCGUUCUUCAACUGCCAGGCAAAGAGAGCAAGCCUUGUGAAUAAUCACUCGCUUACAUAAAUACAAUAAACAUUAAUAAUGAUCACAUUAUCUGGUAAUACAACUUUCUCUCCAAGAUCAAAUUCUCUAACAUUUGCCCCUGAGUUUGAACCUCAUUCCUAGAAGGCAUCUGAUUCCUGGUUUUUUCAGCUUUUUGUCUUCGGGGGAAGAAGGUGGCAGGAGGGGAGGAGUUGGAGAGGCAAGGUUGGUUUUCACUGCCUCGGCACAGCAGCUGUGGGCUCAGCCGCCGGAGGAAGGGAUGCUGCUGGGCUUUGGAUCAAGAACAUUGUGCCCACAGGUCUUGCUAGGUUCAUUCCAGGGACCAAAUCCACCCACGACCAUGAUGAGACAAACAUGCAGGCAGGGCCCAUAUCUUCUGCUUCAAGAAAUUUAAGGGUAGUCCUUUUGGGGGAAUAGGGAGAGUGAGAAAACGUACUAUGUACAUAAAGAAUAGGCAUGCCUUCAGCAGGAAAGAAAGAGAAGAAGGGAGGGAGAGUAAGUAACUACUGUACAUGGCCCUAUUUGGAAAUGUUCAUGUUUGUCCCAGUCAUUAGCACUGGAGUCUCAGAUGAGAUGUAGGUAAACUGACAAACAGGGCAAAUGGAGGGGGUGGAUGAGGCCCUCUCUUCUCCAACCAAAUUGCAGUAUAGUUCAAAAACUAGUAAGUUACUAUAAUUGAUGCUUUUCAUGAAAAUCUGAGUCUAGUGACAACUUUCCUAUCCCCAGCAUUUUAGUAGACCUCAACUCAUAUCAAAAGCUGUUACAGCAAGGUGUUUAAGAUCCACCUCAAUCCACAGGCCACUGUGCCACGGACCUGCUAUGUGGCCUUGGGCAAGUGACAAUAACUGUAGAGCCUGAGGCUCUUCAUCUACAAAAUGGGCAGGAUAAUGCGUCAUGAGGUGUUAAUAAGGAUUAAAUGGGUCAGCACCUGGAAAGCAUCAAGAACAUCCCUGGCAUGCAGUCAGUACUGGUAUCAUUACAGAUUCAUAUCAGGAUGCUACUAAUCUGUUUCCAUAAAAUAAGCAGACUUCGUGUUCGGGGUCUGAUACAGGACGCUGAGGGAGGCCAGUGUUUGGGAGGGAAGCAGUGAAGGGAAGCAGCCUGGAGCUUGCCGAGUGCCUGGAGGCUGCCUGCUGCAGGUUUCUUCAAUACUCACUCACUGCUCGCCUGCCCCAGCACCUCUGCUCUGUUACAUGGAGGGGGCUCGUCCUAGCUUGCUGGGGCUGGCUCAGAGAAAUCAUAAAUAUCACUCUGAAUCUGGAAAGCACAUCUCGGCAGCCCCAUAUGGCCCCGGCAAGUCCAGUCUUGACAGGCUGGAAUAGCAGGGCCUGGGAGAUCAUUGGAAAACACGUCUGGAGGCACAGAGCCAGCUCAGCGGACGUGCUGGGAACCUUGAUUAACACAGAAACCCACAUUUCAGCAGCUCUCCAAGGAAGAAAAGCCAUUCUGGCAUGGGAGGAAUUGAGCUCAGGGUCUCCUGUGUGAGCAUCAGAGCCUGCAUUUCAAAUCAGGCACAACAAUGGGCUCUGGAUGCCCAGGAGAUUCCAGUUCUCAAGACGGGGGAAGGGUAGGGAUGCACUUGGAGGAUCUGUCAGAAAGCCCCAGAGGAGGCUGAGGACACUCAUUCACAUGUAAGAGACAGCAGAAUUUUUAAAAAGAUGGCAUCUACAUUAUAAUUAAUAAUUAUUUUACUUGAUCCCUGCCUGUAAGAAAGGUUUCCUAGUUCCCACAGGAUUUUAAAUUGUGCAAAUCACCAGGAAAGACUCCAUCCCCAGGCCUAGGAACUGAGGGUGAAAAGAGGUUGUUGCUGGCCAUGGCCAUCCAUCAUGACCAAACAGUUGCCCAGCAUCUGGCUGCCCACAGGGGAUGGAUGCCCUCCUCCCUGUCCUCAAGGAAGGCACAGUCUCCUUGGAAGACAGCACACAAAGAACAAUUUAACACAACCCAAGCUCUAGAAACACACUGCUUGUCCUGCCGUCUGCUCCCUGUCCCUCCCUGCAAUGCCGCCAAGGCAAGUUACUCCACCUCUUUGUCCUUUGGUUUUCCCCAUGGAAAAAUGAGAAAAGUCACUGUGGCCAGGAGUGAGUGUCCUGGAAACAGCUUCAUGGGGAUGGGAGGAGGACAGAGGUCUGGAGAACCAGGGUUGGACGGUGAGGAUCAGAUCUGGGACAUUUGAACUAAGGAAGACAAAAAGGGCUGGCCUUGGCCGGAAGGUUCUGGCUAGGGGGAAAGGGCUAAAGCAUGUGAAGACACAACAAUGAUAUGUUAUGUAUUUUAUAUAGAUCCAGCAACCCCACGGUUCUCCAGGAGAGCCCCAUCUUCACUCUGAGCAUGUGGUUCUGACCCCACCUUCCUGGUCAUUGCUGGUUGGCUUAGGAAGGGCCCCGUCCCAAGUUGGUCCAAUCAGAGUUCUUCCUGGGAUAUUUCUAGAUGGAACUGAGCAAAGAAGAUACUCUAUGCGUCUCCAGUGAAAACACCAUGAGACUUGAAGCAUGGAAGCUGCAUCACCCCUGUGUUUCCUGCCAGGUAGAACAAAGUGCUGAGAGAAUCAAACCAGAAAACAAAGAGAAGAGGAGCAAGAGAUGGAAAGUGACCCCUGGCAUGUACAUCCCUAAGCCCCAUCUGAUUACAUCAGCCAGAAGACUCUUCUUGUGACCUAGGCUAGUAUGAGUGGGAUCCCUGUCACUUGUGAUCAAAGCAGUCCUGAUCCAGAAAGGCAGGGACUGGCUGAGGGCAGCCCAACAUUGGUGGCUGAGGGUUUAGACCAUCACACUUCAGAAAGUCAGUCACUAAAACUUUUGCCUGGGAAGGCCACAGGUAUACAAAAAAGAUGCUUUUAGAGAGAUCAAUCUGGCUUCAGUGAGAGCAAUGGGCUGGAGGGGGCCAGGGCUGGAGGCAGAGGUCAGAGUCUUUUGAAAUGUACUGACAAUGACCAGAUCUCUAUCUCCAGCCCUUAGGGUUGGCGCCUGGUAGGGAUAUUUACUGGAAUCCGUGUUGGAGCUCAGAUGUCAAUAUGGAUAAAUUGAAUUCAUCCCCUUUGCAAAGCCUGAUCUCACCCUUUUCCCCAGUCACUGGCAUCUCUUCUGUCCUCAUUAUUACCCGAACUAGAACCCUCAAGAUCAGCUUCCAUUGGUUAAGAAAUUUCUGAUUCUGCCCAGGCACGGUGGCUCAUUCCUGUAAUCCCAGCACUUUGGGAGGCUGGGGGCAGGGGGGAGGGCGGAUCACGAGGUCAGGAGUUCAAGACUAGACUGGCCAACAUGGUGAAAUCCCAUCUAUAAUAAAAAAAUACAAAAAUUA